rnacentral:rRNA from 1 species
UACGUAGGGAGCGAGCGUUGUCCGGAUUCAUUGGGCGUAAAGAGCUUGUAGGCGGCUUGAUAAGUCGGAUGUGAAACCUCCAGGCUCAACCUGGAGUCGCCAUCCGAUACUGUCAUGGCUAGAGUCCGGUAGGGGCCCACGGAAUUCCUGGUGUAGCGGUGAAAUGCGCAGAUAUCAGGAGGAACACCGGUGGCGAAGGCGGUGGGCUGGGCCGGCACUGACGCUGAGGAGCGAAAGCGUGGGGAGCGAACAGG